GACCUAGUGGUGAAAGGAAUCACGCCCACUUCUCUUGCGACUUGCAAAGAAUGCAGCAGGAGCUCCCGGUUCGAGUCCGGGCUGGGUCA